UCUGGCUAUGAUGAUACUCUUGCCCUCACUGAGACAUUGCUAUAUGGAUGUUUAUGUUGAGAACAUUUUUUGUACUCUUUUUGCCUGAGCCAGA